rnacentral:tRNA from 1 species
GUCGAAGUGGUGGAACUGGUAGACACGCUAUCUUGAGGGGGUAGUGGGGUAUCCCGUGGGGGUUCGAGUCCCCCCUUCGACA